rnacentral:misc_RNA from 1 species
GAUGAAGAACGUAGCGAAAUGCGAUAAGUAAUGUGAAUUGCAGAAUUCAGUGAAUCAUCGAAUCUUUGAACGCACAUUGCGCCCGCCAGCAUUCUGGCGGGCAUGCCUGUUCGAGCGUCAUUUCAACCCUCGAGCCCCCCCGGGGGCCUCGGUGUUGGGGGACGGCACACCAGCCGCCCCCGAAAUGCAGUGGCGACCCCGCCGCAGCCUCCCCUGCGUAGUAGCACACACCUCGCACCGGAGCGCGGAGGCGGUCACGCCGUAAAACGCCCAACUUUCUUAGAGUUGACCUCGGAUCAGGUAGGAACACCCGCUGAACUUAAGCAUAUCAAUAAGCGGAGGA